GACGAACGCUGGCGGCGUGCUUAACACAUGCAAGUCGAACGGAAAGGCCCUGCUUUUGUGGGGUGCUCGAGUGGCGAACGGGUGAGUAACACGUGAGUAACCUGCCCUUGACUUUGGGAUAACUUCAGGAAACUGGGGCUAAUACCGGAUAGGAGCUCCUGCUGCAUGGUGGGGGUUGGAAAGUUUCGGCGGUUGGGGAUGGACUCGCGGCUUAUCAGCUUGUUGGUGGGGUAGUGGCUUACCAAGGCUUUGACGGGUAGCCGGCCUGAGAGGGUGACCGGCCACAUUGGGACUGAGAUACGGCCCAGACUCCUACGGGAGGCAGCAGUGGGGAAUAUUGCACAAUGGGCGGAAGCCUGAUGCAGCAACGCCGCGUGCGGGAUGACGGCCUUCGGGUUGUAAACCGCUUUCGCCUGUGACGAGGCGUGAGUGACGGUAAUGUGUAAAGAAGCACCGGCUAACUACGUG
rnacentral:rRNA from 1 species